UAUCCUUAGACUCUGCGGAGAACCUUACUUCCUUUACAAAAUUCUUCCAAGUCUGUGAUGUGAGUCCUUUCUAUUCUUAAGGACAUAGGUGUGAAAACGCAAAUACCAAGAGAGGCUCCUUUAAAAAAAAAAUUCUAUUUUGGCUUAUAAUGUACUUUUCCUGAGGCAAUGAGUACAGAGUGGUCCAUUUGCCUAAAUGGUGCUGUCGUUUGAAUGUGUCCCCCUCCCUUCCCAAAUACAACUGUGUUGAGAGGUAAGACCUUUAAGAGGUGAUUAGGUCAUGAGGGCUCUGCCCUCAUACAUGGAUGAAUGCCAUUGUCACAGAAGUGGGUUAGUUAUGGUAAGAGUGGGCUUGUUAUAAAAGUGAGUUCGGCCCCCUCUUGCUCUCUUGCACUUUCUUGUCCUUCCACCUUCAGCCAUGGGAUGACACAGCAAGAAGGCCCUCACCAGCUGCAGGCCCCUUGACCUGGACCUCCCAACCUCCAAAACUGCACUGUGUCCCCAGCAUGGAUGACCUGCAUUCACAUCUACCCAGGCAAGAGUGUCCAAGGGAGACAAGGAGCAGAGUGUACUUCCAGACCCUGACUCAGCCCAAAGGGCACCAUCAUAGAGGCCUGUGGGUAAAAGACAGGCUCAGAGAACUUUGGGCUCAGCACGGCCUGUGACAGUUUCCAGAGGGUGUGGCUUGGAGGCAGAUUUGGCAGCAAAAGUCCCUCUGUGUCAGCUAGUCACAGCAUGAAGCACUGUGGUUCUGGAAGGGUAUAGUCUUAUUAAGUACCCUUAGCCAGAGCUAGGCACAAGAAAGAGGAGCAAGUAAGAGAGGCUCCUGUCCUUGCAGGGAGAUGACUCUCAGAUAAAGCUGCUACCCUGAGCUGUAUCUCAGAGUCUUAGAGGGUCUUGCUGAUAGCAGUGGUACUCAUUUUAGACUCACCCAGUGGUAGGGAUGGAAAUGGUUCCUAUUUUGACAAGCUUUCUGUUGCUGGAUGACAUCCUAGGCUCAAUUGACCUACUCUAGAUUUUACUGAUGAACUGGUCUUGAGGAAGGUAAAGAUUCCAGAAGAAGGAAUGGAUAAA
rnacentral:lncRNA from 1 species